GUGCUCGCUUCAGCAGCACAUAUACUAAAAUGAGAACAAUACAGAGAAGAUUAGCAGAGUCCCUGUGCAAGGAUGACACAAAUUUUAGAAUUAAAAAGAAAAUUUAU
rnacentral:snRNA from 1 species